UUUCGCAAUGCCCGAAAGGGUGACGAAGCGACGCCGCGUGAGCGAAGAAGGCCCUAGGGUUGUAAAGCUCUGUCAGGGGUUAAGAAAUGUAGAUAGGUUAAUACCCUGUUUAUUUGACAAAAGCCCCAAAGGAAGCCACGGCUAACUCUGUGCCAGCAGCCGCGGUAAUACAGAGGUGGCAAGCGUUGUUCGGAAUUAUUGGGCGUAAAGAGCACGUAGGUGGGUUUGUAAGUCAGAUGUGAAAGCCUUCUGUUCAACGGAAGAAUUGCAUCUGAAACUACAAGUCUUGAGUGUAGGAGGGGAGAAUGGAACUUCUGGUGGAGCGGUGAAAUGAGUAGAUAUCAGAAGGAACGCCGGCGGCGAAAGCGAUUCUCUGGCCUAUUACUGACACUCAGUGUGCGAAAGCUAGGGGAGCAAACGGGAUUAGAUACCCCGGUAGUCCUAGCUGUAAACGAUGGGCACUAAGUAGAGGGGUUUUA
rnacentral:rRNA from 1 species